GGAUGUGGCACAGUGGUUUAAGCAUGGGACUCUGACUUUGGAGACUGGGUUCAAUUCCCAGCUCAGCCA